GAUGAACGCUAGCUACAGGCUUAACACAUGCAAGUCGAGGGGAAACGAUAUUGGAAGCUUGCUUCCGAUAGGCGUCGACCGGCGCACGGGUGAGUAACGCGUAUCCAACCUGCCCACCACUUGGGGAUAACCUUGCGAAAGUAAGACUAAUACCCGAUGAUAUCUCUAGACGACAUCUGAAAGGGAUUAAAGAUUUAUCGGUGAUGGAUGGGGAUGCGUCUGAUUAGCUUGUUGGCGGGGUAACGGCCCACCAAGGCAACGAUCAGUAGGGGUUCUGAGAGGAAGGUCCCCCACAUUGGAACUGAGACACGGUCCAAACUCCUACGGGAGGCAGCAGUGAGGAAUAUGGUCAAUGGACGAGAGUCUGAACCAGCCAAGUAGCGUGCAGGGAUGACGGCCC
rnacentral:rRNA from 1 species